rnacentral:rRNA from 1 species
CNGGCGACGUGCCGGUCCAAGUCCCUUGGAACGGGGCGUCACAGAGGGUGAGAAUCCCGUAUGUGACCGGUGACGGAGCCCGUGUGAAACCCCUUCGACGAGUCGAGUUGUUUGGGAAUGCAGCUCAAAACGGGUGGUAAAUUUCAUCUAAAGCUAAAUACCGGCCAGAGACCGAUAGCGCACAAGUAGAGUGAUCGAAAGAUGAAAAGCACUUUGGAAAGAGAGUCAAAAAGUACGUGAAAUUGUUGAAAGGGAAGCGCUUGCGACCAGACCUGCCCGCGGGCGAUCAGCCGUCCUUCUGGGCGGUGCACUCGCCCGCGAUCAGGCCAGCAUCGGUUCGGGCGGCCGGAUAAAGGCCCCGGGAACGUAGCUCCCUUCGGGGAGUGUUAUAGCCCGGGGCUCCAUGCGGCCUGCCCGGACCGAGGACCGCGCUUCGGCUAGGAUGCUGGCGUAAUGGUCNUAAGCGGCCCGUCUUGAAACACGGACCAAGGAGUCGACCAACUAUGCGAGUGUUUGGGCGUCAAACCCACACGCGCAAUGAAAGUGAACGGAGGUGGGAACCCCUCGCGGGGCGCACCAUCGACCGAUCCAGAUGUCUUCGGAUGGAUUUGAGUACGAGCAUAGCUGGUCGGACCCGAAAGAUGGUGAACUAUGCCUGAAUAGGGUGAAGCCAGAGGAAACUCUGGUGGAGGCUCGCAGCGGUUCUGACGUGCAAA